rnacentral:tRNA from 1 species
CAAAAAAUAGUUUAAAAGAAUAUUAAUUUUGGAAAUUAAAGGUUUAAAAUUUAAUUUUAUUUUUUUGA